CUGUGUUUUAAUAGUAGAAUCAGAGGAGAGCAGUGUAGAAACACUGUAAUUAAUCCAGCAAUACCAUAAUUGUCCCCAAACGAUGCAGAAAGAGUUUGACAAGUGUUUUUUUUUUUUUUUUUAAUCUUGAGAGCAUUUACAAAACCUGGAACAUGAAGCUUUAUCACACGAUGUUGAAGUGCUAAUCCAAUUUCACGAGAAGCUUCCAAUAAUGAAGGUACAGGAGAUGGGCAGACUUUCCCUGCCUGCCUAUCUGUGGCUGCUCAUGCAGUUGAAACUCAAGUUUACCUGGCACAGGGGCAAAAGAGGGAGGAAGAGCCCCACAUGUGCAGAUCUCCCGGCAGCAGUCUCAGAGAUGAGCCUGAUAUCAUAGUGAGGCGCUGGAAUGGGCUGCCCAGAGAGGUGGUGGAGUCAUCAUCCCUGAGGUGCUCAGAAACUGUGAGCGUAGGAGAGAAGCAAGCGUCAAGAUUCUUCCUCCAGCUGCAUCCUGGCUGUUAGAC
ensembl:lncRNA